ACUCCUACGGGAGGCAGCAGUGGGGAAUAUUGCACAAUGGGGGAAACCCUGAUGCAGCCAUGCCGCGUGUGUGAAGAAGGCCUUCGGGUUGUAAAGCACUUUCAGUAGGGAGGAAAGGGUGUAGCUUAAUACGCUAUAUCUGUGACGUUACCUACAGAAGAAGGACCGGCUAACUCCGUGCCAGCAGCCGCGGUAAUACA
rnacentral:rRNA from 1 species